rnacentral:rRNA from 1 species
UACAGAGGGUGCGAGCGUUAAUCGGAAUUACUGGGCGUAAAGCGCGCGUAGGCGGCUUUGCAAGUCGGGUGUGAAAUCCCCAGGCUUAACCUGGGAACUGCAUUCGAGACUGCAUUGCUAGAGUAUGGGAGAGGGAAGUGGAAUUUCCGGUGUAGCGGUGAAAUGCGUAGAGAUCCGGAGGAACACCGACGGCGAAGGCAGCGCCCUGGCCGACGACUGACGCUCAGGCACGAAAGCUGGGGGAGCAAACAGG